rnacentral:misc_RNA from 1 species
CUUUACAUUAUUUAGUUACCAGUAAAAUGCUGCAACUGACAGCAGCCGAGUAGCUCCCACAUGACCCCUCUGCUUGUUGCAACAUUUUGGUAAAGAAAGUAAAAAACAGAGUCCUUCUACAGUUGUAAUUUCUGGCAACGUUGUAAAGAAAAUUUUUUUAUUAUUUUAUUUCAUUUUUUGAUUUUAAAUACUUUUUGCGGCAACAUCAUGUAAUUCGGUGUUAUUUUUAUGCAGGACAAAUGCACAUCAU